GCCUUCGUAGUGUAGUGGCCAGCACGUUCGGCGCAUAAUCGAGAAGUCCGUAGUUCGAGUCCUGGCGAGGGCA
rnacentral:tRNA from 1 species